UUGGUGGUGGUUUAGUGGUGGAAUUUUCAUCUUCCAUGUGGGAGACUGAGGUUCGAUUCCUACCCAACAUA
rnacentral:tRNA from 1 species